CCAAACUUGGUCAUUUAGAGGAAGUAAAAGUCGUAACAAGGUUUCCGUAGGUGAACCUGCGGAAGGAUCAUUAACGAGUUAGGGUCCUCUGGGCCCGACCUCCCAACCCUUUGUUUAUUGAACCUUUUGUUGCUUCGGCGGGCCCGUCGUCUCACGACGACCGCCGGAGGACUGCCGCGAGGCGUCCUCUGGCCCGCGCCCGCCGGUGGCCGACACAAAAUUCUUCUGUAUGAACCGUGUCUACUCUAAGUCUUUUGAUAUUAAUCAAAAAUAAAAACUUUCAACAACGGAUCUCUUGGUUCUGGCAUCGAUGAAGAACGCAGC
rnacentral:misc_RNA from 1 species